AGUAAUCCGUGUGUAAAUAUUUGUAUGUAUUUUGAUUCCCUCUGUAGAAUAGUUUAACACACAACACAAUGAACAUGUAUGUAGAUAGUUCAUGGCUUACGAUGUAAAUGGUGACGACCAUUCGGAAAAUGAUGUUUCCUAGGAAUUCCUAACACGACAUUUCUGGAGCAUCGCUGCCUGGAUACAGGUGUAGGGUUGUAUUUGCCACAGAGUCAUGAAUACAACACCAGACAUGAAGGAGUGUCGGUGUAGAUGUAACAGAGAGACGUUGGUGACGUCACAAAUGCGUCGUCAGAAAUCGGACAUGCAAGAGGAGCUACUGGUUAAACUUGGAGCUAAGGAAGAGAAGUUUGACUGGCACCCCGACAUUCUGUACCGUCGUAUGGAGCGACCACAAUCUAGCGUCGUAGCGGACUACUCAAUCGACAUCAAAGUCGGCCGACCCAAAAUGUACUGCGUCGGCAUUCGAAAUCCAUGGGCCUGUGGAAACCAAGCACUGCGACAAAUGACAAUGACAGCAAAACAAGGUCCACGAAGUCUUUUCUUCGGCAAAAAACCUAAAACGAUUGAUAUCCUGAACAUUCACCGCCCAGCGUCGCCAAGGAUAUCCACAGCAACUACACGGAUUCGUCUCCAGCCAUUGUCGUUGACCAGAAGCAAGACAGCGGUUUACUAAGUGUAAAUAUACCAGACAUCGGAUCAAGGCUAUCAUCAAGUAACAGUAUAUCGGAUAACAAUGUGACAAGACUGACGUCAUAGGAUACUGAACAACAUUUUGACGUCAUGAUCAGAGGAUCCGGGAAAUCAAUUUGACGUCACGAUCAAAGGAUCCUGAAUAACAAUUUGACGUCCUGUUAAGAGGAUCCUGGAAAUUAAUUUGACGUCAUGAUCAAAGAAUAUUGAAUAACAAUUUGACGUCAGAGGAUACUGGAUAUUUGGCGCCAUGAUAAGAGGAUACUGGAAAACUAUUUAACGUCACAGGAUAUUGAAUAUCAAUCGAUUGGUGUGUUAUAUUCAAUCGGAUGGCCAAUAAAGUGAAAAUCCUCAAAUUAAAAUGAUAUAUUCUCGA